AAGUCGUAACAAGGUCUCCGUAGGUGAACCUGCGGAGGGAUCAUUAACGAGUUAGGGUCUUCUCAGGCCCGACCUCCCAACCCUUUGUUUACCCGACCCAUGUUGCUUCGGCGGGCCCGCCGUUUCGACGGCCGCCGGAGGACCGCCUAUUCAGGUCCUCUGGCCCGCGCCCGCCGGUAGCCAAUUCUACCAAACUCUCGAAUCAAAUCGUGUCCAAUGUUCUGAGUAUAUUCCAAAAUAAAAGCAAAACUUUCAACAACGGAUCUCUUGGUUCUG
rnacentral:misc_RNA from 1 species